AUGACAUCUCCGACAUGCUCGACUGACUUCGAAUCUGACACCCAGUCCCUGGUCGGAGCUAUGAGGAAGAAGAUCAGUAUGCCGGACAAGAUGAAAAAGAUGCAAAAGCGUCUACAGAAGAUAACAGAGGACCAUCAGAACUAUCAUCUCCUGCCAGAAACUCGCAGCAAUGAGCCGCAACUUCCUGAUAUCCGGGAAAAUGCAGGGACUAUGGUGGAAGCAGAAAUCAUCGGGAGGGCAGAGGAAAAACUGGAAAUCUUGGCUCCAUUAUCUGGGAGCACAACUGAACAUACCACCUUUGUUCCCAUAUGGGGCUUGGGAGGCAUUGGAAAGUCCACCUUGGCAAGAUUGGUUUACAAUCAUCCUGAGUUUGAAAAACACUCUCGGGUAUGGGUCUAUGUUUCCCAGAUAUUUGACUUGAAAAAAAUUGGCAACACUAUAAUAUCACAACUAUCAAGACAACAAAGCCAGCAGAUACUUGAUCUGCACAGUAUUAACAUUCACCUUCAAGAGCUACUUGGAAGAAGAAUGCUUUGA
rnacentral:rRNA from 1 species